AAACCAACAGGGAUUGCCUUAGUAGUGGCGAAUGAAGCGGCAAGAGCUCAAAUUUGAAAUCUGGUAUCUUCGAUAUCCGAGUUGUAAUUUGAAGAAAGCAAUCUUGGAAUUGGUCCUUGUCUAUGUUCCUUGGAACAGGACGUCACAGAGGGUGAGAAUCCCGUGCGACAAGGAACUCUUUUCUAUAUAAGAUGUUUUCGAAGAGUCGAGUUGUUUGGGAAUGCAGCUCAAAGUGGGUGGUAAAUUCCAUCUAAAGCUAAAUAUUGGCGAGAGACCGAUAGCGAACAAGUACUGUGAAGGAAAGAUGAAAAGAACUUUGAAAAGAGAGUGAAAAAGUACGUGAAAUUGUUGAAAGGGAAGGGUAUUCGAUCAGACUGGUAUUUAGUUAUCAUUGCUCCUUGUGGGUGGUGCUCUAGCUUUUUACUGGGCCAACAUCAGUUUUGGUGGUAAGAUAAUCGCAGUUGAAUGUGGCUCCCUCGGGAGUGUUAUAGCUUCUGUUGAUGUUACCUACCGGGACUGAGGUCUGCGGCUUUUGCCUAGGAUGUUGGCGUAAUGAUCCAAUACCGC
rnacentral:rRNA from 1 species